rnacentral:rRNA from 1 species
AGCGAACGCUGGCGGCAGGCUUAACACAUGCAAGUCGAGCGGGCCUUUCGGGGUCAGCGGCGGACGGGUGAGUAACGCGUGGGAACGUGCCCUCUGGUUCGGAAUAACUCAGGGAAACUUGAGCUAAUACCGGAUACGCCCUUUUGGGGAAAGGCUUGCUGCCGGAGGAUCGGCCCGCGUCUGAUUAGCUAGUUGGUGAGGUAACGGCUCACCAAGGCGACGAUCAGUAGCUGGUCUGAGAGGAUGAUCAGCCACACUGGGACUGAGACACGGCCCAGACUCCUACGUGAGGCAGCAGUGGGGAAUAUUGGACAAUGGGCGCAAGCCUGAUCCAGCCAUGCCGCGUGAGUGAUGAAGGCCUUAGGGUUGUAAAGCUCUUUUAUCCGGGACGAUAAUGACGGUACCGGAGGAAUAAGCCCCGGCUAACUUCGUG